rnacentral:rRNA from 1 species
UACAGAGGGGGCAAGCGUUAUUCGGAAUUAUUGGGCGUAAAGGGCGCGUAGGCGGCCUGGCAAGUGGAUGGUGAAAUCCCUCGGCUUAACCGAGGAACUGCCAUCCAGACUGCUUGGCUUGAGACCGGGAGAGGUGAGUGGAAUUCCCAGUGUAGCGGUGAAAUGCGUAGAUAUUGGGGAGGAACACCAGUGGCGAAGGCGGCUCACUGGACCGGUACUGACGCUGAUUGCGCGAAAAGCGUGGGGGAGCAAACGGGG